rnacentral:rRNA from 1 species
AGAGUUUGAUCAUGGCUCAGGACGAACGCUGGCGGCGUGCUUAACACAUGCAAGUCGAGCAAAGAAUAUAGCAAUAUAUUCUUAGCGGCGGACGGGUGAGUAACGCGUGGGCAAUCUGCCUCAUACAGGGGGGAUAACACUGGGAAACUAGUGCUAAUACCGCAUAAAAUAGUGAAGUGGCAUCACUUUACUAUCAAAAGGAGCAAUCCGGUGUGAGAUGAGCCCGCGUCCGAUUAGCUAGUUGGAGGGUAACGGCCCACCAAGGCGACGAUCGGUAGCCGAACUGAGAGGUUGAUCGGCCACAUUGGGACUGAGACACGGCCCAGACUCCUACGGGAGGCAGCAGUGGGGAAUAUUGCGCCAAUGGGGGAAACCCUGACGCAGCAACGCCGCGUGAAGGAUGAAGGUUUUCGGAUUGUAAACUUCUUUGAUUGGGGACGAUAAUGACGGUACCCAAAAAACAAGCCACGGCUAACUACGUGCCAGCCGCGGC